UGAACUCCCUCUCCAGCGCCGAGCUCGUGACGCUCCUCCAGUACCACGCGCUGCCUUCCUACACUCCCAAGGCGUCGCUCAAGUCCGUCGGCGGCCGGCUCCCCACCAUGGCAUCCAGCGCCGCCGGCAAGUACGACCUCUCCGUCGUCUCCCGCGGCGACGACGUGUCGCUCGACACCGGUGUAGACACCUCCCGCGUCGCCAGCACGGUGCUCGACGACACCCCCGUGUGCAUCCUCACCGUCGACAACCUCCUCCUCCCCAUCGAGCUCUUCGGAGCGGCGCCAUCUCCGGCUCCCACACCAUCUCCA
rnacentral:lncRNA from 1 species